CAUUUUUAUGAGACCUGUUGUUUAUUUACUUAUCCACAAUUCUUUUUUCUUCCUAGCACACCUAGGCCUACCACAUCCAAGGGUUGAAAUCUGUAACUGAAGAAGAGGUGUUGGACCAAAUCUGCUACCAUUAGCUGAUCGCCAGUCUGUCCAAAACAUGGAGGAGCGGCUCAGAAAUAGUGCUGACCUCAAAAACCAUCUGAGAACUGCACUGGCUCUUAAAGGAGGGGGAGACGUUAAAGAGUGUAAAGAGUGUCAUGUGCAACCUUAACACUCUCUCGCCAAGAAUGUCAACAUGCGCGGUAUAAAUGGCAAGAUUGGCUUCCAGCACCUGCAAAUAAAGGAUGUUGUAAUUGAAGUCCACGGUGGGAAUGAUGGACUCACAGACAGCGCUGCUUCAUUUGGACUUCUGUGCCCUUUGUUAAUUUUUUACUAAGACUUUAACCUCCCUGAUUUUAUUUGUUUUCCUUUUGUUAUCCUUAAGCUCACAUUCUUUUAAUGUAUUUCAAUUAUUGAUCUUAUAAUUUUAUUGGGUUGAAAGCAUAAAAUUUUUUUCCAUCCCCACUUAAUGUUGUUUCCCUCUGUUCACCUUGUUCGCUCUCCAACAGUGUCACAUAUUAUUUGAUUUUUAUAUUGUUACUUAUUAUAUAUUGUUAUUUUGAACAAGUUAUUCAAAUCAAAAUAAAUGUUAUUUGUAU